UCAAGUGAAAUUUUUGACCAUCUAGUAAAUUAGUAGGUUUUUGUUAUCAGUUUAUACGUUAUGAUAACCGGUGCAAAGAUAAAAUGUUGAGUGUUGAACAGUAGGUCAGUUAUAGUACUGACGAUAAGCCAAAAGUCAGAUCAAAAAUAUAGAAAAUGUCCCUUCUAGUGGCAGUAAACACCGUGAAGGAAAAUCGGUACCCGUUGCUGUAUAUAGAAAAAUAUGCUAUGAAAUUGAAAAUGUUGUAAAAAAAAUAAUAAUAAAAAAAAAAAUAAACGAAUUCAAAAAUAUUUCGAUGUUUUUAACCUACUAUAAGAAAAAAAAAAAAUGAUAAUAAACCUCAACCAAAUAUACCCGAA